CGACAUCCAGAGAACUUAGCAGAGAUGCUUUGGUGCCUUCGGGAACUCUGAGACAGGUGCUGCAUGGCUGUCGUCAGCUCGUGUUGUGAAAUGUUGGGUUAAGUCCCGNAACGAGCGCAACCCUUAUCCUUUGUUGCCAGCGGUUCGGCCGGGAACUCAAAGGAGACUGCCGGUGAUAAACCGGAGGAAGGUGGGGAUGACGUCAAGUCAUCAUGGCCCUUACGGCCAGGGCUACACACGUGCUACAAUGGCGCAUACAAAGAGAAGCGACCUCGCGAGAGCAAGCGGACCUCAUAAAGUGCGUCGUAGUCCGGAUUGGAGUCUGCAACUCGACUCCAUGAAGUCGGAAUCGCUAGUAAUCGUAGAUCAGAAUGCUACGGUGAAUACGUUCCCGGGCCUUGUACACACCGCCCGUCACACCAUGGGAGUGGGUUGCAAAAGAAGUAGGUAGCUUAACCUUCGGGAGGGCGCUUACCACUUUGUGAUUCAUGACUGGGGUGAAGUCGUAACAAGGUAGGCGUAGUGCU
rnacentral:rRNA from 1 species